rnacentral:tmRNA from 2 species
AAGAUAAUAGGAUGCUGGCAACCUUGGUAGCGUGCUGCUGCGCGAUCAGGGGAGCGAGACACAAAUCAGACGGCUAAGCAUGUAGAUCUACGCGAAAAAGGCUUGCGGACGGGGGUUCAAAUCCCCCCAGCUCCACCA